CAGAGGCCAGGAGUGGACGGGAAUGAGAGGAAACUUCCUACUCACAAAUUAUCUAGCAUUUUGGUCAAGUUGACCAGACUGCUAAACAGGCAGGAGGGAUCGCCAUAUUGGCCAAGACUGUGGAGGAUACAAGUGAGGGCUCUCGGCCCAAGUCUGAGUGAAAUCCACCGGGUUAGAGAUUGUGUGUGCAGCCUGGCCCAUUGCCCGUGGCAGUCUACCUGCCACGAUGGGAAAGACGGUCUAGAUGGAGAAGAAAAGGAAGCACUGUUGUACGGAGCGCUCCCCUGGGUGCGUGCUCUCAGAGAUGCUCCCAGAGAUUCGUGCCAGGUGGAGAACACCAAAUACUCCAGCAAAUUAGCAUGCAAGGCAUUUAAGGAACUUGGUUUUCAGGAGGAUGAUACGUUUUGGACAUGAAAUGAAGUACACUUUCCUCCCUGGCUAACACUGCCCUGUUUUGAACUUUUCUGCGCAGAGCUCGGCAUGAAGACAGCUACUGAGUGUGCGUCUGAUGCAAUGUUGGCUGACGCUCCCUCUUGCCGGCUCCCGCUAUUGAACCAGACCCAAGUGCAAUGUUUAAUCUUACUAUACCUCUUCCAGUCCCCUCUCAGUGGAUGGUACCCUUCACAUACCAUCACUGCUCCCUCUUUCUCACCUUCUGUGGUAAGAGCUUUAAGGAUGAUCCAGCCUGCUUCUACCCCACUGUGUUUUCCUCUUCAUCACCUUGGCUUUGCUUCUCCCAGAGUGAGAUGGAACUGUUUGGCACCAGGUAGACAUCUCCAGUGAACCUACUCAGCUUUUAACAACAGAUUGAGUCCAAGUCUCUUUGUACAGCUCUAGAACUGCAGAGAUGAUCAUAAAACCUUCCCUCAUUGAAUUCCCUCAGAGCCACCAAGUCUCUCCACUGCCCUAUCAAGAAAAACUUCAUCAGUACAUCCUGACAUGUCAUCUGUGGAUGACAAGAUUUCACUGUGAUGAUUUCCUUGAAACUUCAAAGAUAGAAUUCAACUGAAGCAAAUCAGUGAAUAUUUUUAAAAAUUAACUUGGCAUUAAUACUUGUUUAGCAUCGGUGAAAGGUAGAGAGAUUUUGAGCAUAAGGAAACUAAUUUUGAUGGAGAAAACCUCUUUGAUCCAGAAUUGUACUGAACAUAUUAGAUGCACUAUUGUUCUAAUCUUCAGCAUUCCAUGAGAAGAAUUUGAGGCUAAGAUGUUCAGAUGGCUUACCUGAUACCAAAACCAACAUCUCACCCCCAAAGUGGCAGGACCAGUGUUUGAUUCCCCCCAGUCUAAAUACCACUGUUUUUCAUUUAAAUCCAAUUGCCUCAUGGUAAAAUCCUUCUAUUUGAAAAGAGGGGUUUUGACAUCGAUCUAUAGGAUAGACAUCAUUCAACUGAUACUUCAUAAUUACCCAUAGGAGUAGAUUAUCAUAGUGACAAGUGAAGGGGAAAGGGGCUAUUUGAAAAAUAACGUGGAGAUUGCUUUGGCUCUCUUUGAUGGACUCAAAGACAUGGAAAAUGGAAACCAGAAACAGAGAAAAAAAUAAAUCCUUUGUGGGCAGGAGCUCUUAAGCCCUG
rnacentral:lncRNA from 12 species